CAGCGCAUCCCCCACCUUCUGCGCACGCUCUGUCGCCCGGGAUAGCGUUUGAGCUGUGCGCAGGCGCAACGGGGAGAGGUGCUCCGGCGCCAUCUUGGUGGCGAUUUUUGCUGUUUGAGGUCCUGUUGAAGCGGCAGCAGAAGCAGCGACCGCGAGGAGGUUGAGGUGGGCCGGGAAAUUCUUUGGUUUCAGCUGCUGUUCGGUGGGUUUUCCAUCGUUUUUUCAUCGGAGCCUUUAGAUUACUGUCUAAUUGGUUACACACUACGUUCUUUGGGGAAUAGAGAAAUAGGCCAAUAUCCUGGCCUAUUGAAGAACACUGGAUCUUCAAAAAAAUGCAGCAAACAUGAUUGUAGAAAGGGUUGACAUUUUUCUCGUUUAAAAAAAAAUCCAUGGAUGUUAAAGAUCUCAUUGCCCCAUUUUGAAGAAGUGGAGUUGUUCCUUCAACCAAGAUCACUGAGGUUUAAUGAUGGCACGUACAUGGUUCUUGAGGUUUGUGGAAAAUGUCAAAAGAUUUUCAAUCUUUGUGAAACCCGACGAUAGUGAAUAUAAUCUCAUCUUCCAUUUUGAUGUCUCUUUUUCUAAUUUAUCUAUUAGACAUUGAUAUCUUUUGUAAUCGUUUCCUCUAAUCCAUAUGUACACUAUACUGCAUUCCACAUUAAAUCCCUUAAUCCUCGAAGUGCAUCAACCAGUUUUCUGUGAGCAAUAUUAUGCUAAUUUCAUUGUUUUUUAAAGAAACUGUUCUUUAGUUUUUCCAUAGUCUUGCUGUUGGUAUACAGCCCCUCUUUCAUUGCAUUUGAUAUUUCCACAGAUGUAUAAUGAUUAUCAAGUCUUCCUACUUGUAAAGCUAAGGCACAUUUUUGGGCACUCUAGUAUAAAAACUUAAGUCAGCACUCCAGUGCAUUGACUGAGUGCUGCAUAGUCAUCCAUAACCUGGAUGAGGUGUUGAAGGGCAGUGCUUUUACCCUUUGAGAUGAACAUAAAAUAUUCUAUAACAAUAUUUAAAGAGUAGAAGGGUGUCAUUUCUCAUGUGCGGGCCAAUAUUGAUUCUUCCUCAAUUAUAUAGCCUUUAUCACAACCAUUUUGUAGGAACUGGCUGUGUGGAAGUUGGCUGCCUUAUUUCCUGUGUUGCAACUUCAGACAUUGAGUGCAAAGUGCUGUAGGAUAAUUUGCAGUUGUGAAAGGUGCAGUGAUAAUGAUGUAUUCCCUCCACCACACUGAUGCAGGAGAUCAGUGACACUAAUGUCAUUAUGCAUCUAGAACAGGCAGUUACCACCCACUCCACUGAAAGGCAUAAGUGCUGUACUGCUGACAUCAUUAUUGUGCUUUCAGCCCUACCCUUCACUGCUCCACUUGGCUGUAUGAAAAGUACAAUCCAGAACUAUCAUUGGGCUGACACAGUAAAUCUUGCAAUGUUUAAUAGAAAUGUUUGGAAAAGAGCAUGUUUUAUUGGUUCUGCAAUUGUUUAAAAUGGGUUUGAAUUGUUCAAUGUUGUGGAUAGUCCUAAAUUUUAAUAUAAGCAACAGCAUGCAGCAUCUCUGGCAUUGUCACAGGCAGUAGCGAUCGUAGCAAAUGUAGGCCUAAUAUAAAUACAAGUUAAUCCGUUUUUCACUUUUUACAGAAAAAUUCCAGUUGAAUGGUAUCAAAUUAUACAUAAAGAUUGAUAAUGUAAUGUUAGCUGGGGUAGGCCACAAUUUUUCGUAGGCAUGACUGGUUUCUUUUUUCUUAGCGAUGUUCUUCAAAUGUCUGAUUACUGCAUUUUUCUUUUGAGUUCCAAAAUCUCAGAUUAUUUAUUUUCUGUGUCCAAAGUUCCAUUGAAUCCUACCCAUAUUUACUGGUAGGACUCCUCUCUCUAUCCAGACUGUCAAAGUAGUGUUAGAGUUAAGAGAAGUGCAGUAUCCUCCUUGAGAUCCAUUAAUCCAGUGGUUAAAUAUGUAUUUAAUUGUUUGCCUUGUGGCUGCCUAUAUUCUAAAUGUUCCCAUCCAUUCCUCGGUAUGAAACCCUCACCUUUCUAAGCAUCCAGACUUCACUUGCUGACCACCUACCCAAGAAUGGGCCAUGUCUAGCCUUGCAAGACAUCGUAAGGAUAAAUAUACACAGUCAAAUUUCCCAUGCCAUUUUUAAGGUGUGCUUAUUUAUCUGUUUAAGAUGAGUGUUAAUGACAUUCUGAUACCAGCAGUUAGCAAAUCUAUAAUAGCAAUAAUCUGCUAUGCAUUCCUUAGUUUCAUUGAAUAGUUUGCAGCUAACUAUUUUUGCCCGUGUGUAAUUAUGGUGACUGUUUGUUUAUAUAGCAUGAGGUGGGACAGGAGAAACGCUAUUAAAACUAACUAGUCCAUUGUUAGUAAAAACAAGUUUUUACAAAUUACAUUGUAAUAGUGCAGUCGUUUGUAUUUGAAAUCAGCCCUAGUUAACUUUUUGGAGACUUUUUUUUUGUACAGUGUAUUGUGUGGGCAUAUGUUGAUUUGUGUGUAACAGGCAGUGUUAAGCUGAUGGGGUAGUUAGUGUGGAAGAUGGAAAUUUCCAUUAUUGAACUGUCAGGUGCUUUUCUAUAAUUUUUGUUUUUGGGUGAGUAGCAGUAAGAAGCAUUCCUCUGAUAUUAAAUAUCUGGGCAUGAUGAAAUCUAACAUGUUAUUUACUGUGAUGUGGUUGAAUCUUAACUGCCCUCUGAAAUUACCCAGCAAACUACUCCAUUCAGUUAAUCUUAGAUGUACAGCAUGGAAACAGACCUGACUCUCUGAUUUGUCCAUGCUGACCAGAUAUCCUAAUCUAGUCCCAUUUGGCCCAUAUCCCUCUUAAAAAUGGGAAGAGUUUAAGGUGAAAGGAGAGAGAUUUAAAAAGACCCAAGGCCAAAGUCUUUUCACACAGGGUGAUUUGUGUGUGGAAUUAACUUCCUGACAAAGUUGUGGAUGUGGGUACAAUCAUAAUGCCUUAAAGUUAUUUGGAUGGAAACGUGAAUAGGAAAAGUUUAGUGGGGUAUGGGCCAGCAGUAGGAAGAAGGGACUAGAUUAUAGAAUAAUAGUGCAGAACAGCCCUUCGGCCCUGGAUGUUGCGCUGACCUGUGAACUAUUCUCAGCUCAUCC